UAGUCCCACUCAUUUGAGACCUAGUGACUCACAUCACUAAUUCCUCACUAUGGGAAUUAGCUACCACCCCAAGGGCCAUGCUAUGCACGCUAACUCACCUAGCAUGCAAACAUCAACAACAGUCCAAAAUGACUAACAUCACUAAUUCCUCACCACGGGAAUUAGCUACCACCAUAAAGGCCACAAUAUGCAUGCUAAUCACCUAGCAAUGCAACAUCCACAACAAUUCAAG
rnacentral:lncRNA from 1 species